rnacentral:rRNA from 1 species
CCUACGGGUGGCAGCAGUGGGGGAUAUUGCACAAUGGGGGAAACCCUGAUGCAGCGACGCCGCGUGUGGGAAGACGGUCCUCUGGAUUGUAAACCACUGUCCCCAGGGACGAAGAUGACGGUACCUGGGGCGGAAGCUCCGGCUAACUACGUGCCAGCAGCCGCGGUAAUACGGGGGGAGCGCGCGUAGUCCGGAAUUACUGGGUGUAACGGGAGCGUCGGAGGGGAUGCAAUUGGGGUGUAAAAACUACAGGCGAAAGUGGUAGUCGCACUCAAAACUGCAGCUCGUGAGUGAAGUAGAGGCAGGCGGAAUUCGUAGUGUAGCGGUGAAAUGCGUAGAUAGUAGGAGGAACACCAGGGGCGAAGGCGGCCUGCUGGGCUUUUACUGACGCUGAGGCUCGAAAGUGUGGGGAGCAAACAGGAUUAGAUACCCGGGUAGUC